CAUGCAAGUCGAGCGCAUCCUUCGGGAUGAGCGGCGGACGGGUGAGUAACGCGUGGGAAUGUGCCCUUCUCUACGGAAUAGCCACUGGAAACGGUGAGUAAUACCGUAUACGCCCUCAGGGGGAAAGAUUUAUCGGAGAAGGAUCAGCCCGCGUUAGAUUAGGUAGUUGGUGGGGUAACGGCCUACCAAGCCUACGAUCUAUAGCUGGUUUUAGAGGAUGAUCAGCCACACUGGGACUGAGACACGGCCCAGACUCCUACGGGAGGCAGCAGUAGGGAAUCUUGGACAAUGGGGGCAACCCUGAUCCAGCCAUGCCGCGUGAGUGAAGAAGGCCCUAGGGUCGUAAAGCUCUUUCGCCUGUGAUGAUAAUGACAGUAGCAGGUAAAGAAACCCCGGCUAACUCCGUGCCAGCAGCCGCGGUAAUACGGAGGGGGUUAGCGUUGUUCGGAAUUACUGGGCGUAAAGCGCGCGUAGGCGGAUUGGAAAGUUGGGGGUGAAAUCCCGGGGCUCAACCCCGGAACUGCCUUCAAAACUCCCAGUCU
rnacentral:rRNA from 1 species